GUAAAUAUUUUCUUCUUAGAAAAAUGCUAGGCAACUUCUAUAUAAGUGAGUAAGAAACACCUCUCCCAUUAGGGCAAGAUAAUAAAUAGUGUGUAUGUAAGUAUAAGGAAGAUCUGAUUAAUGAUUUUUCUUAUGUUGUAAUAUGUUCAAGAAAUAAAAAGUUUGUUUCAUAUAUUCUUUGUCAAUCUUUUAUGCUGGUGAAAAAUGAAGGUUGCAAUAUUCGGCCUUAACGGAGGAAGGACGAAAUAGUAGCCUGAGAUAGUGAGUCACAAUAGGCUAAAAGGUUCUUCAUAGCCGGAAGGAGAAUCACUGCGGUGUUGAUACAGCUAACAUAAAAGAAAACUGAAAGGUAUAUGCAUAAACUCUAUCAUUUCAUGAACAUAUUAGCAUAAGAAAAGUCUAUUUUCAUAUCAACUCUAUACCUUCAUACAUAUUAUACGUUAUCAAUUACCUAUAGGGAAUUUAAAAUCAUGAUUGUUCAAAUUUGUCAUUAUGAAAGUAGUACACGAGUAAAACAAUUGAGAAGAUUGUAUUGGGAAUCCAAAAUGAUUAUUGCAAAAGUUGAUAGCGAUAUAAUAAUUUUUGAGAAAUUAUGUUCAACGAGUUUGUCGUUUAAAAAAUAAUUCAAAUAAAUCCGAAAUUAGCAGAUUAAAAAUAAUAUUUCUUUCAGCUAUUGGCCGAAAUCAUACUAUAAAAAUGACACAGAUUUCUCUGUUAAAAAGACAUAAGGCUAAGAUAAAGAAGACUAUUCUUUACGCUGCAUAAAAUAAUCAUCAUGAAGGUAAUACAACCAAAAUUAAUAAAGUUCAGAUAAAAUCUUUGGAAAUCCAAAACAAUUAUAAAUAGAAUUAAAGAAGACAUGAGGAAUUUGAGAAACUACCUUUGUAAAAUAUAUCGGUUUAAAACCACUUCAGUUAAUUCUGAAAUUAACAAGUUUAAAAUACUUCUACUUAGAGCUUUAGAUAGAAAUCGUGCUCUAAAAAACACACAGAAUUUUCUGUUAAAAAGAAAUAAGAUUAGGAUAAAGAAGACUAUUCUUUAUAGUGCCUAAUGAGUUAUUAUACUAUAUUCUUAGAUGAAAAUACAUUAAUCAAUAUUUUAAAAGUGAUAAAAUUAAAUAACGACCUACAAGAAAAAAUUGUAGAAAAAAUUAUAGAUCAUCUUGUCCAAUAACAAUGGUCUAUUCAUGACUAUUCCUAUGUGGAUUAGGGGUGGGCGUUCAAUUGGUUCGGUUUGGUUGUUUAAUAUCAGUUCAGCUUAUCGAUUUUUGGAUUGACAAAAAUGACAACCAUAACCAAACCGAAAUAAAAUUGGUUUGGUUCGGUUUCUUCAAAUUUGGUUCGGUUAUUUUGAAUUUUUAUUUCGGUUUGAAAUAUUAAAGUAGAGAGUGGAAUUAGGGUUACUAAAGUGUAUAUAUAAUUAAUAUAAUAUAUUGAUAAUAUAUAUUAUUAUAUAUAUAUAUAUAAUAAAUUAAUAAUAUAUAUAUAUUAUAAUAUUAUUUAUAAAAUUUUGGUUUUCGAUUUUUCGAUUUAACCAAAAAAAUUUUUAAGAAAACCGAAAUUUAAAAAUUGAAAACCGAAAUCAAUCCGAAAAAUCAAAACAAAAAUUAAAUUUCAGUUCGGUUUUUCGAUUUUUUCAGGUUUUCGGUAUUCAUGCCUAGCCCUAAUGUGGAUAGUGAUGAUGAUCCAUACUAUUGGUAUGACAAUGGUUAUUUCACUGAUUAUAUAUAUAUAUAUAUAGUAAAACAAUCUUAAUUGAUUCUCAUUAACCGAAUACUAUGAGAUUGCAAUAUAACAAACAAGGUGCUACCAAGAUAAUACAAUACAAGAGUAAAUACUAACACAAUACCAAAUCAUAUCAAGAAAUAUCAAUGCAGUGUAAUGUAGUGCUAAUGAUGAGAUGAUGAUGAAUGGUGAAAGUCAUUGAAUGACUUUUUAUAUACACCCACCGAGAUCACAAGCUACCGGGUAGGAUUCAUAGGGGGUCGCAAUCCAUAUACUCAUAUAAUCUCAAUGUUGUGUCUCAGAUCAACCUUAUUGGCACAUCCCUCAGUAUAGGCAUUUCAUAAGGUGUCUCAAUUUCUUAUAAAAAUUAGAAUGUCUCAGUGGUACCAAUAUCUCAUGAAUAUGCAUACGGGGUCUGAGGAUAUAAUUCUCACAACUAAUCGAUAUGAAGUCAAAAUCCAUUCAAUACAUGUAUAAGUGUGAUCAAAAUCAACUCAAUAUAUCAAUAAUUCAUAAUAUCAAUUUUCAUUUAGCACCACUAGAAUAAAUAGUUAUAUAGUCAUCAAUAUAAUCUUCUUUUAACCCCACUCGGACAUUAGUAUAAUGAAAAUACAAUUAACUACUUAUAUAAGAUCUACAAUGUCAAAUCAAGUACCCACUCGAAUGACAAAAAAAUAUAUAAGACACCUAAUGCACAAAACAUGACUAACAAUAUCACGUCAAGUCCCCACUCAGACGCCAUAAUAGAAUAUCCUCUCAAUUAAAAGCAAUAUGUAUAUAAGCCCCCCCUCCCCCCAGGCAUACGAUCAUAAAUAAUUACUCAAGUCCAUAAAUAAUUACCCAAGUCCAUAAUGAAGUUUGUAUAAGUCUCACAUGGGUAUCACAAAAUAAAUAACAAUCCGAAAAAUAAUAAAUCACGGUCUUCUCAAACCUAACUUGGUUCAUUAAGUCUCACCAACUAUCACAAGUAUAUUCAUUCUCUAAGAAUUCUCUAAACCUCAAAUUCCAUCAAUAAUGACGAUAAUAACAUCAUUACCCCUAAAAAGAAACUAAUCCACAAUUAUCUCAACAAAGUCCGCUAACACAAUUCAAGCUCUAAAAUGGCAAUCCAACAACAAUUAUCUGAGAAUCACUGGGUUAUCUAUCUAUAUUCUACUCUACGGACAUUAUCAAUAAUAAUACUAACUAAUCAAGUAAAUCAUCCAAUUACAAUCCAUCAAAGAUUUUGAUACCCACGGAGAUGCUCUUCAUUUUACCGAAGUGUGAUCCCCGAUCCUAAGUGAUAGAAAAAAAAAACAAGUGUACAACUCAUAAACACUUUGAAAAAAGUCAAGGUAUAUCUCAACUUGUCUUAAAUGGAGAUCCGCAAAUCCAAAAGCAGUCCAAAGAAAUCGAGAGCCCAACUCUCUCGAAUCCACACCAAUGUGUCCAAUAUACUUAAACAUGUCAUCUAUAGUCAAAAGAAAGCUAAUGAUCCCCAUAUUGACCCUAUUUAAGGCAGAUCCAAAUUAAAAUGAGUUCGAAAAUAAAAAAGUUAACACCAAAAUUUUAUUUAAGAAUAGUAUUCUCCAUAUCAAGAGGAGUCUAUAGUUGAAACCCCAAAAAAUAAUGAGCAGAAAUCGAAUCUCAAAUUGAAGAAAAAUCAAUUUAUACUUUACCAGAUAAAAAUUCCCAAAAUCGUAGUUUGAAAUCAUGAUUUUAAAAAGUUUUUGAUGAUAUAAUCGAUGAAAAUUUAUGAGAAUAAUGUUUUGAAACUUACCCAAGCUCAAAUGAUGGAAAAAACUUCAAGAAUCGGCUAGACUGGAAGCUCAAAGGUCCAAAAAUAGAGAAAAAGUGUGAAAAUGGAUUUUUAUAUCAAACCUAGCUUUGGCCGGUUAAGUGAUCAUCACUAAAAUGAUGGGUGACCGCUAAAGCGGUCUGGUCUACAUUGUUAUACUUGCUAAAGUGGUUAAGUGACCGCUUUAGUAGUAGGCGGCGAGUCAUGCAUGACCGCUAAAGCGGUGCUCUUCUGCUUAAGCGGACAUUGGUAAAGUGGUAUUAUGAUCACUAAAGCUCCUAUACCAGGAACUUUGCUAGGUUGCAAAGUAGUCGGUUGACCCCUCGACAUUCGUUUGACAUUUCGUGAAUGCAAACAAACUAUAUAUGCUACUAGGAUAAUUUUGAUAUUCUGAACUUAAUGAUGAUGUUUUAAUUUUCAAAAAAAGAUUUUUUUCACUAAAUUGAUCCCCAGGACUGCUUUUUAUUAUUUUCCUUAUGAUGGACCAAAAUACAAGAUAAGGGUCUUGAACUCGAAUCAACCGCACUACUGACCAAAAUUUGAUAUUCCAAAUCUGUUGGCGACGUUCAAACUGUAACCCAUCUCUCAGAACAAUGAAUGUUGAUCAAAGUCAACUAUAUGACUUCUUAAAUCUCUAAAAAAGUCAUAAACUCACAUAAAACUUCUCGAUCGCAUCGAAAACCAUGCCCGCUAUCUUCAAACUUCAAAAUUAACAUGUAGAAACUAUGGAGAAGGACAAAAUGAUCAAAACACAGAAAUUUCUAAAUUUCAAUACAAGGAUCAUUACAGGAGUCAUGUUACCCAUUCCUGAAGAUGACAAACAACAAAAUACGAUUAUGAAAAGGGAUAAAAUGACCAAAACACGCCAAAUGGAUUUAAAAAUAUAUGCUUAAUAUCAUCCACAGUUUCUUCAUAAUUAUCCAAAUGGUCCCAAAUAUUUAACUUCAUCUACUGCCAAACGACAAAAUCACAUGCUAAUAGUACUUGAAUUUUUAUUUUUGGAUUUUCUAUUUGAUCUCUGAUAUUCAGUUUUGAGCUUAUUUCUAGAAGACGCUCUCAAUAGAGUAUUUUUAUUCUCAGAAGUUUAAGUCGAAAUCUUUGAUUAAGAAAUUGGAUUUCAAUCAUUUAUCACAACUUAUGUUGGUGAAACAUAUUACUUGCUCCACCCUUCAUUUCACCUUAUUUAACAUUAUUUUACUUGGGAGGACCCAACUCGCUCCUUCUUCGUGAUCAUGAUCAAAUCCUGUGAUUGAAUGUUAAAGGAUUUUCCACUCUGCGGUCGCAAUAGGGGCGUCACAAACGUGAAGAAGGGGCUAGGUUCACCAGUUGAAGCAUCUCAAGAAAAAAUCUCUGUGACGGACCCUCGAAAUGCGUUCGGAACUCCAUGAACACAAUUCAACUAUGCUACUAAACCAAAUUUGUCAUUCUAAAAUCAACGAAUCAGUUAGAAUUUUCAGUGCAGCUGUUAUUGUUAGAAGAUGUCCAAAGUUAACUUUGGGCCUUGAUUUCUAACAUCUCAUUUAAACUCUCAAAAUUUUACCGAAAUCCUCGAAAUCUGAACCAACUAUUCUACUUAUUCAAAAUUGAGGGAAUACAAAAAUGUAUUCUUUUUGCUAAAUAAAUUAAAUUUUUUAUUUCAUCCAAAUGGUCCUGACUUGUUAAUGUCAUCCAAAUGGUCCUAAUUUAUUAAUAUCAUCCAAAUGGUCCUACACGUACACUUAAAAUCUGUGGGAAAAUGGCAAAGUCACAUGCUAGCAAUAAGCACGUUUUUCUCGUUGAAGAACAAAAGUAGGGACUCGUGUUUUCCACAAACUUCAUUCUUAAGUCUUCCCAUAUAUUUUGAACUCCAAAUUAUACAUUUUGAACUCUAUUUAAAUUGUGAGUGGACUCCAUAAUCCUAAUCUUAGUAAUCUACCUAAAUUAAAUUCUUUUAUGUAUUUAUCAAUAGAUAUUUUUUGAUCUCAACUUGAUACUCUAAUUUGUUGUUUAGAUUGAAAUUCCUUAUCCUUAGUAGUUUCUAGGUAAUUAAUUAUCCUCAAGUUUCUGAAAUUUGUUUAUAAUUUAUAUCUUUGAUUGUAAUGAAUUGUGACAAAAAUUGAUUAGAUGAACACAUUUCAUACUUAUAGAGCGUAAAAGAUCUCUUUUCAUUUAAACACACACAAAUUUAAAACAAGAUACAUAAAGGACUGAUGUAUCACAACUUAUUUAAUGUGUCAAAUGGCUACUAUAGGCCAAGAACACAACAUUAUAAGUUACCCUUUUAAGAAAGGCAACACUUCAUUUAAUUUUGUUUGACAGUAAAUCCAUAAUCAGACUUAAUUACGCCCUGAAAAUCUCUUCUUCAAGCAAUUGUGCUUCGAGAGAUUUAGCAUCCUGAACCAAAAUAGUUCCAGCAUCAUUAGGAAUAUUGUCAAAUGCACAUAUCUUAGUGCAUAGGCAGUUCCUUAGGAGUUUGCUACAAUGACCAUCUUCAAAUUUAUCCUUCUCGAUACAAACUUUUCUACAUGAAGAGUCAACCCAACAUAAUCCUUCAAAAUAUUUGCUUUUUGUUUUGCAAAUGUUAUAACCUUGCACCCCUACAAUAAUUCAUAAGUUGUUACAAAUGUUAGAAAAGAAAGACACGUAAUCGAACCAAAUAUAUACAAACAACUUUAAAGUGUGAAUCAACUCACAAUUCCUAAAGAAGUAUUACUUAAAAUUUCAUCAAGAUUAAUUAGCCACUAGACUAUAAGUUCAUAAAAGAGGACCACAUACUUGAAAUUUUUUAUCAAACAAACAAAUUCUUUGAAAGAAUCAACAAAAAUGGUUAAUGCAAACACUAUUUAAGUCUUUGUGUCUUUAGAGUAAUACUACAAAUUAUAUAUUUUGAAUAAAAGAUGAAGACAAACCAUAGGCAACAAAGAGUGUCAUUGCCAAGAAAAGAAAUGCCAUGAAGUAAACGGAACGAGCCAUAGUCUCUUCGAAUGACUAAAAAAGUUUGCAAAUAUUUUUUUUAAUAAUAAGAAAGAUUGCAAUUUUGAGUUGUGAAUGAACACUAGAAAAAUGGAGGUAUUUAUAGGCACUGAAAUAAGAGUAAAACCAGAAAAGAUAAAAUUUAGUAGGUCCAAUAAAUAUGUGAAGCAAUGGCUGUAAGUAAAUUUACAACAUUAUGUGAAUCACAUGUUAAUGGUCUAAACGUAUAACCAAUUAAUGAUUCAAUAGACACGUUUUUAACAUUCAAGUGAAAAAAACAAAACAUUCUUAUUAAUCCUAGUUACCUACUCUAUAAUAAUUUGUGAAAAUUUGUAGGAAUUAAAAAAACAAAGACAUCAUGCGUAAGCUAAUAAUUGUUAAUUUAACAAUAAUAGAUAAAAUGACAAAGAAAAAAAUUAUACAAAAGACUUUAUAAUACAAGGUAUAAGUUAUAACCUACAUAUAACAAUACUAAUAUAAAAAGAUAUUCUAAAGCUAUUGAGAAAAUAAAUCUCCCCUUAAGUAAAACUCUCUAAAAGAAUACAUUGAGGAUGUUGUUAUGUUGUAGUUGUAUUUGAGGAGAAAUAGUUUUUUAUUUAUAGAAGUUUUUUCUUCUCAAAAAAUAUAGAUAUGGAAAAAUCUUUUUCUACCAAAUAAACAUUUUUCAUCAAGAAGAGAACAUUUCUGAAAUAAAUCACAAUUAUAUAUGAUGUAGAAAGUAGAAUCCAAAAUAAGGCAUAACCCAUAACAAAAUCUUGUCAGUGUAAAGUUUAUCCCUUUUUUUAGGGGAGCUAUACGUUGCCUUACUAAACCUAUUGAGGCAUAACAAAGCCUCUUCUAAUUAACAUGCAUGUAAAAAAUAAGAAAAGAAGAACUAAAUAUUCUAUGAUCAUCAUAGAGUUAAUAACCAACUCUAUGAUGAUAUUAAAAAUGAUAAUACUUAAGUAGUGAAAGAUUAAAAUAAGCAAGUGUGUGGAUUCAGGUCCAUAUUUCUUUAAAAAAUUUAAAUAUUCAAGAAGAUGUAGCCCUAUAAAGAUUCGAUUCUUCACCUUGUAUUUUCCUCCAACCAGUCUAACAUAUCUUCAUAUUUCAUCAAUUCUUCUUGGUCUAUUGAAUCUUGUUGAUAUAACUGAAACUUGUUUCCUUUUUCUUUGCCACCCUCAGUGGUAAUUGUCUUAGAAUAACCUCUUCAUACACUUUACAAUUCCAACUAUAUUUUCUUUCACGAUUCUUCUUUUUCUUGAAUCCUUUCCUUUGUUUCCUAGGUGAAAGAUCUCUAUCCCUAGUCACGUUAGCAAACCAUUCAUCCAAUACUUCUCCUCAUUUUCUUCGUCAAAUAUGUCAACACCUAAAUCACCCUCAAACGCUUCCAUUGGAUCUUCUACACGUUGGAGGGAAUGAGGCCUGCUUCUCCUCCUCGUCCAUAUCUGCCUAACUUAUUAUAUUUGUACCACUUUUUUGGUCACUCUUGGCUUCAACCUUGUUGUUUGAACGCGUCGAAGUUAAGACCACUACCCCAUCCACAUCUUGUUCAUCCCCCUUGAACAAUAAUUGAGUACUGGUGUGUCUACUUGUUCAACUUUAUACAAGUUUAAGUGCCUACUUGUACACACCCAAAGUUGGAGGUCAUAGAUGUGACCUUAGGCAAGUUAAAGGGAAUGUUUAUGUAUUGUGUCUUUAACAUUCAAGUGAAAACAAAACAUUCAUGUUACCUAUAGCUACCUACUCUGUGAAAAAUUGUUGGAAUUGAAAUAACAAGUGUCCUCCUCAAGGUAAUAUUACAAAUCUUGAUGACAAUAAACUGUGAAUGCAAUUAAUGAUGAUUACCAUAAAUAUUUUGAUAAUCAUCAUUAAAAAAUAACCAGUACUCAAUUAGAUUUUCUAUUUAUUUUUCAAGACAUCUAGAAAAAUUCACAAUAUUGCUAUCUUGGUCCAACAGUUUACGUAUAACAACCAGAUGUACAUAAGUUUCUAUGAAUUCUUUUACAUAUUCAUCAACAUAAAUAUUUUGAUCUCAUCUCGAUACUAAAUGCAAGUAACCAUAAGAUAAAUAUCGAGAGAUUGAAGUAAGUUUGGAGUUCGUCAACACAACCUCAAUCUCUACAACAUCAAUGUUGGGUGAAAAUAAUCUACAAGUUGCUAUUUGGUCCAAUACCUGCAUGAGGAGAUGUUAGGGCAUGAGAAGUUUUGAUGAUAGACAUAUGAAUAAAACAUGUUGUGAAAUCUGGUCCAUUCAAGUGAACAAAGCUAAUAUGCAGACAAGUUACUGAUAAGAUGACUUUGCGUACAAACAAAAGUGGAUAAAUAUUUACCACAGCAGAAGAAGUUGAGUGGAACAUGAACAAGAAGUCCUGCAAAAGAUUCCUAGUCAAGAUAAAGAGAAACAUUAAGUUAUGCAAAAGUGGGGUUGAUCAAGGAGUCUAGCAAUAAGAGAACAUAAAUCAAAAGAGUCCUAUUAAAUCUGAGAGAGUGAGCGGCGGCAGCAACUAGAAGAGGAGUUACUUGAUAGAGCCCUACACAAGAUAGAAGAAGAGAUCAAAAAGGACUACAUCAGAAGGUGCGCAUAUAUACGCCAAGCUUCAUUCAUGUAACUCACUCAAGCAUUGAAAAGAUAAUCAACAAUCAACAUAUCAGUUCACAUACUUGAAGAAGAACCUGGUCUCUUACUUAGCAAGUCGUAGACAGUGUGUAGUGGGUAGGUUCUUUGAGUUGUAAUGAGUCAUUGUUCUAGUAUCAGAGAUCUAUAAACUGAGUUAGGAGUUGUGUCUUCAAGUUAGGGAAAUCGAAGACUUGGGAACACUUAUCUUGGGAAGAUUUGUGUUUUUGUUGUGAUAGGAGUUAGAAGUUUUAAUUCCUAGUUUACAAGAAGUCUUAUAAUUCUGUUGAUUGUUGAGGCUCAAGUAUUAUAGUGAAGUUGGGGUUAAAUCGUGUAGAGGUAUAGGUCAUGGGUUUUUACAACUUUCUUGAGCUAGGUGUUUUCCACACAAAAAUACUAUGUUCAGUAUUCACUUCUGUGAACUGAUGUGUGAGAUAAUGCUUACACAUUUGAGGCUUUUAACUAAGAAUAAUUUGAAGUCUCAAGCAACUUUUGUCAUUUUUGAUUGGUUUGUGUUUGAUUUUUUAGUUUAAGAUGAUAUGAUAAAGAACCAACAAGAAUGGAAACAAAUAAGUUGAAAUCUGAAGACAAGUAUGGCUGACAACAUUUGUGAUAAGUCGUCAGCCCUGUGAUAAGCUAUCAAGUUGGUCGUCAACAGUAUAAAAAAGAUUGGCAUAAAGUGGAAGCUGUGAUAACAUUUUGUGAUAGGUUGUCAAGUUUCUGAUAAGUUAUCAAAAGCGUCGUCAGCCUAAGGCAGCACAGGAGAAUUGAAGAAGAGCCUUGACAACAUUUGUGAUAGGUCGUCAAGGUGAUGAUAACUUGUCAAGUUUGUCGUCAGCCUUAAGCAGGAAGAUCCAAAAUUGAAGAAGGAGCUGACGACAUUUGUGUUAAGUCAUCAGGAGGCCAUCACAAAUGUCGUCAACUAAUUCGAGGGCUUUCUGAUUUUUAUUAAUUUGUUUUCUUAUUUAGGGUGAACUAUUUAAAGCUUUGUUUUAUGGUUUUUUUGAAAGAGAAUUCCACACAUAGAGUUUGACACAUUGAGUUUUUGAGAAUACUUUUGAUAUUUUUCUCUCUCAACUUUUGGCUUGUAAAAGCAAAUACUUUGAAAGAUUAUUAUCAUUACUUUGGGAUUUUCCUCAAUGAUCUAAUCUGUGAUUCAAUAGUUAAUAUUCUUCUUGUAGUAAGUUUAACUUUCAAAGCAUGAAUACAACUUGUUUUUUCGAUUUUAACAUAAUGAGUGGCUAAAUUUCAUUAACCUGAAUUAUGGGAUCUAUGGUUUGGUCUUGAUAAGGUGCUUAGAGUUCAAGAUUCAAAAGAUGGUAGGAUUUCUUGGUAAUUCUGAGGUUUUAAUUAAAGUCUGUUGGUUGAAAAUGAUAGACAACACCCGCUUUGGUUUGCUUGAUAAAGAAAUCAAAUAUAGUGGGAAGUGAAUUAUCAACAAGGACUUGGAAACACUCCGUUUAAUAAUCAACGCUGUAACAAGGUUGGUUAACCUGAGGUAAAAUCUGGGCAUUGAAUAUAAAUUCCCUAAGUCCGAGAGGAUUAGGUAAUUAAACACUUAAGUAGGUCGAGAGACAUUUAAGCAUAAUAUCGAUAAAGAUAACUUGAUGUCCUACCUACCGUGAGAAUCUUGAACCACUUGCAGCAUCUGUGAAGUACCGAAAGCCCUAGUGAACAUAAUUUUGGUUUCUCUAUAAACUCUUGAGUACAAAUGCUAAUCAAAGUGACUGGUAAUUACUUGUUAAAUUUAAAACCCCCAUCUCCGAAAACAUUCAACUAUCAGUUUACUAACUCACAAAAGACUUACACUUACACCAUAUUUCCUAUGGGAUUCGACCCCAACAUAGUUGGGUUUUAUAUUGACAACGAUCGCUUACAUUCUCAUUUAGAGGUGUAGUUUGAGCAUUAUCUAAAAUGGCGUUGUUGCCGGGGAAUACGGUUGUAAACUAAGUUUGUGAGCAUAAAUUGACUAUUAGUUAAGUUUCCUAGUUUUACGUUUGUUUGUUGUUUUUGUUUAUUUGAAGGAUUUUAUAGUGUAUGCCAGCACCAGAAGUUCUAGAGAACUGUUAUUACCACCUAAUCCGGAACCGCAAUGAAUAGGAAGAAUGACAGAAUAGCAAGAGGCUGACCGACUAGUAGCCUUGGCUGGAGCUCAGGUGAAUGUGCAAACUGUUGGGCAACAGGCACGACAUCCAAAUCCUAAGGACAAAGAUUUGGGAGACGAGGAUUUGCUGAAUCCUGGUAACCCAAGGCGUGCAGAGCAGAUAGCUGCACCAAUACGGUGUAAUGUUAACCGGAACUGCCUAUUUUGAGAAAGACCAAAGUACCAUCCAGUCCAGUAUGAUCCCAAUAAUGAUGAUGGCAUAGACGGGGAAAGUGCAAUGAGUGCAAUCAUUCCUCCACCGUUGGCACCUAGGGAUAAUUUCAAUAUUACGAGUACUAGGAUCCAACUCCUCAAUCUGAAGGGUUUGUUUGGUGGUGUUCCUGGGGAUGAUCCAAACAUGCAUCUGGUGAAUUUUGUCACCAUCUGCAAAUAUUUUGACAACCCAAAAGUGGGCCAAAAUGCUAUCUGAUUGAGAUUGUUCCUGUUGUCUCUGUCUGAGGAGGCAACUUUGUGGUUAAAUAAACUAACACCUGAUUUUAUAACCAACCGGAGGCAGUUGAAAGGAGAUUUCCUAGAAAGGUUCUUUCCUCCUUCCAGGAAGGUACAGUUGAGGGAUGAGAUCAGCAACUUUAGGCAACUCCCGACUGAAGCUUGCAUGAAACAUGGGAAAGAUUCAAGAAGAAGCUGACACAGUGUUCGAACCAUAACAUGAUGGAUAUACAUUUGAUAGAGACUUUAUACAGGUCUCUUAACUCCAUUACAAAGCCAACUAUAGAUAAUGUUACUGGUGGUUCAUUUGUUGAUCUAACAUUUCCAGAGGCUUCAGAGAUGUUGGAUAGAAUGACCAAAUAGAUUCGAGCAUGGCAUACUAGAGACUCUAUGGUAGCUAGCCCCAUGCCAGGUGUUACUGUGGAACAACGUAGAAGAGAAGAGGAGCGUGACCAAGACAUAGAUCAUCUUAAAAUGCAGAUAGACUUACAGACAAAGCACUUACUAUCAGACAAGGUUGAAAAGGUGAAAGCUGUGGGAUCUCAGGAUAGAAGUGAUGCUGAUGUAGACAAAGAGGAUAACUAUGUUAAUAAUUAGAGGGAUUUCUGAGGCAAUAACCAAGUGAAUCAAGGUCGGACUUACUAUCAUAAGCCUAGUUAUAAGGAUAGGGAUCAGGGAAAUUGGAGGAAUAACAAUGACAGGUGCGGGCUAUAUGUUCCUCCUGGCAAUCGUGAGGAUGCUUCAACAAAUUCCAAAAAGAUGUCCAUAGAGGACAUGAUGGCUAAGUUGUUGAAGAGAGUGGAGGCAACUAACUCUGGUGUGACCACUAUGAAGACUGAUCUGACAUCCAUCAGUCAGUUGGUGCACUCACACUCUACCGUAAUCAAACAAUUAGAGCAGUAGAUGAGCCAACUUUCUGCAACAUUCAACCAGAGAAAGAGUGGAAUGUUACCAAGCGAUACGGUCCAGAAAAUAUGGAAUGAUUUAUCAUGUAUGGAGAUUACUACUAGGAGUAGUAAGAUGUUAUCUGGCCCUUCUGUGGGUAAAUUUGUAGAUAAUAAGGUAGUUGUUGAUGCAUCGGAAGAAGGUGAUCCAGUGGAGUCUGAAAAGCUUGAUAAUUCUUACAAUGUUUCGUAGAAAGAUAAAGGGAAGGGAAAGGAGGUAGUGCUAAAAACUAUCCCAAGACCACCACCUCCCUUUCCUUAAUGGUUGUAAAAGAAAGGCCGAUGAUGCAAAAUUUAGCAAAUUCUUGGCAAUGCUCAAGCAAUUGACAAUAAAUAUGUCGUUGGUUGAGGCACUAGAGAAAAUUCCAGGAUAUGCGAAGUUCAUGAAAGAACUGGUGACCAAGAAAUGGAAGGCUAGACAUGAGUCGGAGGAAAAUCUUCUCCAUUGUGGUGCUAUUUCUAUAAGAUCUUUAGUGCAGAAAAAGGCAGAUCCGGGAGCAUUUACCAUCCGUGCAUUAUUGGUUCCCUAAAUUUCACAAAAUCACUAUGCGACUUGAGAGCUAGUAUAAACCUAAUGCCACUUGAUGUGUACAAAAAACUAGGUUUGGGGGACCCUACCCCGACAAACAUGCAUUUAGUGAUGGCAGAUAGGUCUGUGAAGCGGCCUGUGGGCAUAUUAUAUGAUGUCUUAGUUAAGAUGGCCGAUUUUAUUCUGCUUGCUGAUUUUGUAGUCCUGGAUUGCGAGGUGGACUUCGAAGUGACUAUCAUUCUGGGUAAACCAUUCCUUACAACGUUGCAAGUGAUAGUAGACAUGGAGCUAAAUGAGCUAAAAUUCAGGCUCAAUGACAAAGAAUCAUGCUUCGAGAUACACACAUCCAUGACUCAACAAAAAGUUAUGGGUGUUUUCCCAAUCGUUGACGUACUCUAUCAUGACAGUAAAGGGGUCUCAACCAGUUGCUUAGCGCAGUCUGAGUAGUCAAGAUAACCAAGUCGUGUCGCGAUAUUAAAUCAAGCACUAUUGGGAGGCAACCCAAAAUUUUUAUAUUCCAGCAAAUUAUUUAUUUUUGUAGUUAGGUUCUAGUUCAAGAAAGGUGGAAUCGAUAUAUCUAGCCAAGUGCUCUUGAUGACAUUUUUGAUGGGUUGUCACAAUUGUGAUAAGCCGUCAGAUUUGUCGUUAUAAAUAGCAACUCUGAGGUAGUUUCUGUUAAGGCUGACGACAUUUGUGAUAAGUUAUCACAAUUGUGAUGGCUUAUCAGAAAUGCCGUCAAAAAAAUCCCAAAAUUAGUUGAAAAUAUGGGUAACCUUUAAAAGACCCGACUCGGCCUACAGCUUGGCCUUUCCACCUUCCCGCAUGGUUUUUAUUUCUCUUAAGUUUAUUUUAUUUCCAUAUUUAUCUAUUCUCUUCCCUUUUUCAAAGUCUUUCUAUGUAAAAGAAAAAGCAAGUUUCCUUGUGUGUGGGUUUGCAAUUAAAAUCAAGAAUUUCUUCCUACUUCCUCUUGUGCAUGUAAUCACAUUGAAGGCUCCCAUCAGGUAUGCUCUAAAUUUAACUUUUCUUUUCAAGUGGUAAGUGAUAGAUUGAUGAAAACCCAAGUUACGAAGAGGCUUGAACCAAAUUCAACUUGAAAAGGGGCUAAAAAUCAGAACUACGGUUUUGCGAGGCAAUCCUAAAGCUUUAAGUUCAGCUCAAAAAUGGAAUUCAAGUGAAUUUUGAGAAAUAAUGGGACCAAAAAUUGAGUUAAUGUCAAAAGUGUGGUUCUGAUAAGAGCUGGCGACAUUCAUGAUAAGCUAUCACAACUGUGGCGGCAUAUCAGAAAUGUCGUCAAAGACUGCUAAGAAUAAUGUGGGUUUUGUUUAGAGCUGACGACAUUUGUGAUAGGCUAUCACGGUUAUGAUGGCUUUUAAGAAAUGUCAUCAGAAUUUGAUAAAAUCAUAUGAGUUUGGUUUAGAGCUAACGAUAUUUAUGAUAGGCUAUCACAUUCAUGACGGCUUAUCAGAAAUAUCGUCACACUUGGAACCUGAAGCAUGAAUGAGCCUUUUCAAAGGAUGUGAAGCUUAAAUGAUUAAUGUGUUUGUGUUUAUGCUCUUGAGGAUUGACUAAUGGUUUUUCUAUUGCUACAAGUUGUGAAAUGGCACCAAAAGGAAAGAACCCAAAAUCCAUAAAGAAAGUGACCAAGGGAAGUUUACCUCGGAGACUCUUCAAUGAGGAGCCUGAUUAUAAAGAGGAAGAACCUCUACUCAAAAAGCAAAAGAAGAAGCAAAGCCCUAAAGAGCCUCCACCACCCCCACCAAUUAAGGUGGAGGAGAGUGAAGAGAGUGACACUUAGCCAACAAUGUCUGAGCAUACAGCUUCUGAGCAGACGGCCUCUGAAUAACAAGAGUCUGAACAUGCUGUAUCUGAAGGUCAUGAUUCAGAUCAACCUGAGUCUGAAGACCAUGAGUUUGAGGGACCAUCCACUGAGUCCCCUUCUACUGUGCCUCAAGAUGACAAAGACUCUCCAAUUCGGGGAACUUUGGUCAAAUGCAAAAAUCCUGAAUUUGAGAUGGCACUAGAUGGCUGAUCCCUAGAGCUCAGAAAAUCUUCUUUGAUGGGCUGCACAGAACUAACGGAAAGCUGUCAAGAGGCCAAUCUUUGAGGAAAAGACAAUCAUUACUAAGUGGUUGAGCAGUUAACCGGAGGUGGAGCAGAAAUUUCAUGCCUAUAAAUUGGGGUGGACUACACGAGGAGGAAAUGCAUUCUGCCUAAUACUAGUUAGGGAAUCCUAUGUGAACUACCAAGCUCGCUUAGAAAACAUGUGCAAAGAAGGAGAGGAAACAGCUGGCCAACCUUUGUUGGACAAAGUUCCUGUAUAGGGCGUAAUGGUAGAUGUUUCUCAAGCAAUAAUUAAUAGGUUCCUUCACAGCCAAAACUUUACUCCUUAGGUCACUUCACCUACUUUCUAUGCUUGACUGAAGCAUCGGGAAAAUUAGCAAACUUGGUUAGCCAUACUCAUAGAAGAUGGAGAACCAAAAUGCUUGACUAACCCAGGUGAAAGAAUCUUCAAAGCCUCACUGACAGCGGAGGCAAAAUUUUGGUGGGGUAUUGUUCAUACUUGGUUGAUGCCCAGAGAUGGUGAUAAUAUUCUCGAAGAUGAUAGAGCAAUAUUGUUGUUAUUUUUUUGGCUAACCUCAAAUUGAAUUUUGGAGAGAUUAUUAUCGAAGAGAUAAAGAUUCAUGUCUCGAGGUCUGAUACAACAUAUCCCUUCCCUUGUUUAAUUACAAGGUUAUGUAGGGCAGUAGAUGUGCCGAAGAUUGUAGGGUUAGAAGAAGAAAUCCUUGCCAAGAAGAGCCACAAUCCGAUCAAGAAUGAAGAAAAUCAGCCGAGGCUAAUAUUUGACAGGGGAGCAGAUCUUCGCACUGAGGUACUAGUUCAGUGCCUAAUGUAAAGAUGGCAGAAUCAUCAGUGCCCAAGACUGAGACAAAUCCUCCAGCUACUAUGCCUACAAUAGAAUUUGCCUUCACUCUAAUAAAUUUUAGGAAAGUAGUAAAGCAGUCCAAGUGGUGCGAGUCUCAGCUUAAACUCUCUGCCAAGCAAUUCACAAAUGCAGUUAACAAAAGAGUUAAGGUUGUACUUGAGCCUUACAAGGCCAUGUCUGGCCGGAUUGAUGAAUUGGAGAACUGCUUCAAUGCACGGUCGAAGAAGAGUUUUGACCCAGAGAUAUCACUACUUUGGUUAGAACUGGCCAAGGUGAAGGCGGAGGUUAGAAAUUUAUAGCAACACCAAUUUAUGGUGUCAUCAUAGCCGACAGUGGAAGAGUCUGAGGGAGAAUUUCCAUUAUUUGAUCUCACCGAGGAACUGGUAAGGAAAAAAAAAGAAAAGUGAGAAAAAAUAAAAAGGGAAGAGAGAGAGGCCCGAUAGUGAUAGAGAAAAGUAGAGAAGAGGGCAAGAAAGAAGAAUGAAAAGGAGGAACUGAAAAGGGAAAGAAUUGAAUCCCUAGUUGAUAAUGAGAUAUGGGAGACAACCAUCUAAGCAAGAGUUGCAGGUGCCUCUACUAGUUGGCCUUCAGAGACUGAUAAACCAGAUGCACCAUAUCAGAUCGAGGCUCCUGAUGGAGAUGCAGCAGCAGGGUCAGGAACCCAUGACCCCCAGGAUUUAAAUAUUUCAUGUAUCCCUUAUCCUAAGCUUAGAUUCUCUCUGAUUUUAAGUUGAGGGUGUAGAGUAAAUUAGUUGUUGUAAAAAUUUUUGUAGCCAGCAAGGAGAAGUACUUGUACUUGAGGUAGUUUAAUUGUUUUUGUGAUUUUUGUACACCUCUCAAGUUGUCUAAUUCUGUAACUACGUGAAUUUCAUUUAAGUGUGACCACUGUGUCUUUGUAUGGCAUUAGUUCUAGUAACAUAGUAACCAUUGCUAAAUAGUUGCAUGAACUGAAUGAGUUGUAGCUUGUGAUAUACUUAUGUGCCAUAUAUGUGUGAGCAACUACUUAGUUCCCUCUGUAUGCUAAAGCCAGAACUUACCCGGUUAGUCUUACCUAGGUUGAAGGAUAGGGGUCAGGAAAGGAUUAUAGGCCAUUUGGAUAUUAGCUCACUUUAGCCUAAAAUGACCUUCCCUAUAUGUAUCAUAUCCCUUGAUCUCUGAUUUGCGCCUAAUUUGCCUAUUUCUUUGUAUGACAACUGUCACCUUCCCAUUUAGAUUACAAUGAACCUGUUUUUGCCCUUGUCCUCCUUGGACACUAUGCACCUUGACUUACGAAAAUGGCCUAAGUUGAGGGUGGCUAUCAUAGGGGUGUGUGAUACAAAAUGAGUAUAAAGAAAGGUAGCAUAAAAGGAUAGAAUAAAAAUCUGGGUGCAGAAGAAAAAAAAAGAAAAAGAAAAAGAAAAAUUGUGAAAAAGAAUAAGUGAUUGAGAAAAGACUGCAUCCAUCCUAAAUCAGUGUGAUCAAGUGAAAAGAAGAGUAAAAAAGGCUAAUGAGUGAAACCCCAAAAAGUAGUGCAGUGCCAAGGAGACUUAGUCACUGUAAAGACCAUGAGUAUCCUACCAGCCCCUAACCUACAUUACAAACCUAAGAGAAGUCCUAUAGUGAUCCUUACUGACCUAUCCGGGUAAUGAAAAUAAAGGCAAGCCUAUGGUACAUGGCAUACACUAGUUGGAAUUUCAUUUUGAGAGCGAAUGUUUUGAUUGUCCCCAUGGUUACAUAUAUAAUUCAUGAUAUGAGAUGAGGGGGAUUUCUUUGUUGUGAGGGAAAACUGGGUACAUUGCUAGUUACUGAUUUGUUCGGGUAGUGUAAUAAUGAUCUAUGCAUGGUUUUUAUAACUGAGCUGAUGUUGUAUCUUGAUUCUUGUGUGUUGCAUUGGUGUUCUUCAUUGUUCUUGAAUUGAGUUACCUUGGAGAGGGUAAAAGUGUUUUGAGAUGAUAUAGAUGAUUAACUGUCAAGUGUACUUUGCAUUCUCUUAGUUGUGUUGAGUUGCUUGAGGACAAGCAAUUGUUUUAAGUAGAGGGUGUUGAUGUGUGAGCUAAUGCUAACACAUUUGAGGCUUUUAACUAAGAAUAAUUGUGAAGUCUUAACAAACUUUUAUGGUUUUUGAUUGGUUUAUAUUUGAUUUUGCAGUUUAAGCUGAUAUGAUAAAGAACCAACAAGAAUGGAACCAAAGAAGUUAAAAUCUAAAGAAAUCUGAAGAAAAGUGUGGCUGACGACAUUUGUGAUAAGUCGUCAGCCCUGUGAUAAGCGAUCAAGUUGGUAGUCAGCAGUAGACAAAGGAUUCGCCUAAAGUGGAAGCUGUGAUGACAUUUUGUGAUAGGUCGUCAAGUUUCUGAUAAGCUAUCAACAACAUCGUCAGCCUAAGGCAGCACAGGAGAAUUGAAGAAGAACCUUGACGACAUUUGUGAUAGGUCUUCAAGGUGCUGAUAAGUUGUCAAGCUUGUCUUCAUCCUUAAGCAAGAAGAGCCAAAAUUAAAGAAGGAGCUGACGACAUUUGUGUUAAGUCAUCAGUCUCCUAAUAGGCCAUCACAAAUGCCGUCAGUUAAUCCGAGGGCUUUCUGAUUUUUAUUAAUUUGUUUCCUUAUUUAGAGUGAACUAUUUAAAGAUUUGUUUUAGGGUUUUUCUGAAAGAGAAUUCCUCACAUAGAGUUCGACACAUUGAGUUUUUGAGAAUACUUUUGACAUUUUUCUCUCUCAACUUUUGGCCUUAAAAAGCAAAUACUUUGAAAUAUUAUUAUCAUUAUUUUGGGAUUUUUCUCUGUGAUCUAAUCUGCGAUUCAAUAGUUAUUAUUCUUCUUGUGGUAAGUUUAACUUUCAAAUAAUGAAUACAACUUGUUGUUUCGAUUUUAGCAUUAUGAGUGGCUAAAUUCCAUUAACCUGAUGUAACGCCCCAAAGUUUUUCUUAGGUAAAUUUUGUCCCUAAA
rnacentral:lncRNA from 1 species